rnacentral:rRNA from 1 species
UACGUAGGGUGCAAGCGUUAAUCGGAAUUACUGGGCGUAAAGCGUGCGCAGGCGGUGAUGUAAGACAGUUGUGAGAUCCCCGGGCUCAACCUGGGAACUGCAUCUGUGACUGCAUCGCUGGAGUGCGGCAGAGGGGGAUGGAAUUCCGCGUGUAGCAGUGAAAUGCGUAGAUAUGCGGAGGAACACCGAUGGCGAAGGCAAUCCCCUGGGCCUGCACUGACGCUCAUGCACGAAAGCGUGGGGAGCAAACAGG